rnacentral:lncRNA from 10 species
CUUUCAGUUCCCACAUAUAUGGAUUGUGGGCAAUCAGAAGCUCAAAGUGGAAGCUCUGAAGAUGGGAUCCUUUCUGCAAGCUGCUGUGAUACGAGCUGCUGUAAAAACGGAGGCCUCCAGACCAACAGCCAGGGAGUAGAGGAGAGACUCACAUUAGUGGCCACUGGACCAGUGGGAGGAAGAGCUUAUGGGAAGAGACUUCUUUGGCUCAUCUCAUGUUACAUCUUGGAGUGACCUCAAAGGCCCCAUCCCAGAAGGCACAGCCACAAAAAACGUGGCCUCCACCAGCAUGGAUCCCUGAAUGUAAU